CCUAGCAGCUUCUAUUUAUAGUCAACACCCCACAAUACUAUUCACAAUAGUAAUUUAGCAGAUACAAACUGACAUUUUUCGCCGGAGCCCUUCUGAAUGUCCGACUGAGCUCAAAUUUGACAGUCAGGCUCGGUUUUCCUUAACAUGACGAAAGAAAUUUAAAUCUUUCUGUUACGACCAUGUUUGGUUACCGAAAGCUCUACCGAACUGUAAUCUCUAGCAGAUCGUAGUCGAAUUUUAUUUUUCAUCUUCCGGGUAUCGGAUUGACAUGAAACUUUAAAUCUAGCCUCAUAAAAAUAAUCCUAACAUAUUCCCAGAUUUUCGAUAUUUUCUGACACUGUACAUUUUUUGCUAAAAUAUCAACCCCGUCUCUCACAAAAAAUUCUCAAUCUUCUGUUUUCACUCCGAUUUCCGCACGAGUCGAUCCCAACAUAUAAUUUACUUCUCUAAAUCCAAUAAAAAUAGUAUCUCACACUAUUUUUAUUUAUAUUCACUUUUAUUAAAAAUUCGGUAUGCUACACACCCCAAACCUAGAUAUGAUGCAUCGCUAUAUAUCA
rnacentral:lncRNA from 1 species